AUAUCUCGAGUGAAAUUCCA
rnacentral:miRNA from 1 species